rnacentral:rRNA from 1 species
ACAGGGGGAUAACAGUUGGAAACGGCUGCUAAUACCGCAUAAGCGCACGGCAUCGCAUGAUGCAGUGUGAAAAACUCCGGUGGUAUAAGAUGGACCCGCGUUGGAUUAGCUAGUUGGUGGGGUAACGGCCCACCAAGGCGACGAUCCAUAGCCGGCCUGAGAGGGUGAACGGCCACAUUGGGACUGAGACACGGCCCAGACUCCUACGGGAGGCAGCAGUGGGGAAUAUUGCACAAUGGGGGAAACCCUGAUGCAGCGACGCCGCGUGGAGGAAGAAGGUCUUCGGAUUGUAAACUCCUGUUGUUGAGGAAGAUAAUGACGGUACUCAACAAGGAAGUGACGGCUAACUACGUGCCAGCAGCCGCGGUAAAACGUAGGUCACAAGCGUUGUCCGGAAUUACUGGGUGUAAAGGGAGCGCAGGCGGGAAGACAAGUUGGAAGUGAAAUCUAUGGGCUCAACCCAUAAACUGCUUUCAAAACUGUUUUUCUUGAGUAGUGCAGAGGUAGGCGGAAUUCCCGGUGUAGCGGUGGAAUGCGUAGAUAUCGGGAGGAACACCAGUGGCGAAGGCGGCCUACUGGGCACCAACUGACGCUGAGGCUCGAAAGUGUGGGUAGCAAACAGGAUUAGAUACCCUGGUAGUCCACACCGUAAACGAUGAUUACUAGGUGUUGGAGGAUUGACCCCUUCAGUGCCGCAGUUAACACAAUAAGUAAUCCACCUGGGGAGUACGACCGCAAGGUUGAAACUCAAAGGAAUUGACGGGGGCCCGCACAAGCAGUGGAGUAUGUGGUUUAAUUCGAAGCAACGCGAAGAACCUUACCAGGUCUUGACAUCCCGAUGACCGGUUCAGAG